rnacentral:tRNA from 1 species
CGGGCAGUAGCUCAGUGGUAGAGCUUUCGCUUUACAUGCGGAAUGGGUUCGAUUCGCGGCUGCUUCU